AAAUAUUUUUCACUUUUAAUAUCAUUUUAAAAUAUUGUUUCAAAUUUUUAGAGAUUUUUAAAAAAAAAAUCAAUAUUUUAUAAUAUGGUAAUGAUUUUAUUUUAAGUCUCUAAUUUUUAAUUUAUUAAAAUCAUAUUUUUAUAUCUACUAUAAAAUAAGUAAAUGAAAAAUGGAGUGGGGAUGAGAAAAUCAUUCUCUACGUGGGGAUUUCCCAUCCCCAAUCCACUAAAUUUAUUAGAAAAUAGGGUAGAGAAUGGAGGAAAAUUUUUUUAAUGAGGUAGGGAAUGGGGUAGGCAUCCCCACCCCCACCCCGCCCCAUUGCCAUCCCUAGUCAUUACAGCUCUCUUGGCCGCUGCCAACGGCGUUGGAACCUACCAGCCACCGCGCAGCAGCCAACUUUAACCAUCAAGCCUCAUCCUUUUCCUCACACGACACCAUACACAACACUCUCAUGAUCUCGAUAAAGAUAGACACCCUCUUCGCACCCAUAUUACAUAAAAUCAAUCAGUUGCCCCUCAUUUAACACCAUCACAGCCCACUCGCUCUCAUAAUAAGCCACCGGUUCAAGCUUCCUUUCGGCCUUGGCUUUUUCUCUUUAUGCUUUUUUGGCAAAAUUAAUAUGCAUUAUAAGCUUCAGCAAGUUGAAACCCAAUAAAACAAAAGUGAAAAGGAUCAGAUCCGUGGCUUGAUCAGAGGAGGCGGGUGCUUUCAUGAUGGGGAUGAGGAAGAUUAGAGGAUGGCGGAAGCCUCUGUAAGGCUUAGAUUUUUAGGAUUGUUUUUUUUUUCCCCUAACAUUUUGGUUUUAUAUUUAUAAUGAAUAAUUAAAAGUUACUAAUUCAAAAAACUGUAUUCUGGGUCUAGGUUCUAGAAAUCCGGUUGGUUCAAAUGUACUCGGAACCAAACCCGGAUAUAUAUAGGUUAAAAAAAAACAUAUCUUAAGCGGAUAUUUUAUACAUCUGCCCACAGGUUGAACCCGACCUAAAUCAUCCGAGUUUGUCUGGGUUCGAUCCAGGUCCGAUUUGUCUGCCAUCCGUAAUGGGAGUUCAAGAUUUAGUGUGAGAUCAGUUCUUAUCACGUCUAAUCUUUUCUAUUUAUUUGUAAGAUUCAAUCCAGUCCGUACCCUGUAUUAAAGUGCUUUAUAACUGUUCUCCUCAGUUAGACUUUUAUCAUAUGAUUUUUAAUGAAUUACAUGAUGUUUGACACUUA
rnacentral:lncRNA from 1 species